UACGGGGGGGGUAAGCGUUGUUCGGAAUUACUGGGCGUAAAGGGCUCGUAGGUGGCCAACUAAGUCAGACGUGAAAUCCCUCGGCUUAACCGGGGAACUGCGUCUGAUACUGGAUGGCUUGAGAUUGGGAGAGGGAUGCGGAAUUCCAGGUGUAGCGGUGAAAUGCGUAGAUAUCUGGAGGAACACCGGUGGCGAAGGCGGCAUCCUGGACCAACACUGACGCUGAGGCGCGACAGCGUGGGGAGCGAACAGG
rnacentral:rRNA from 1 species